UAGUAUUUUUGGAGAACGCAAACAAUUAAUAUAUCGAUAGUAUCGUCGCUGCUGGCCACCAAUCAGAAAUUCUUGUGCACAGAGUCGCUCUGCCAUUUCACGGGAUUUUAAAAGCAGCAGCAGCGCCGUUGGUGGAAGUGGCAGCAAUUUGUCCAGCCGUAAAUAACAAGAACCACUAUUUGCUGUAUAAAAUCCGCAGAAAAUUUGGAAUUUGGUUAGAAAAUGUGCAACAUAAAUUUUAUUUAAUAGCUUUAUACAAAAGAAUUGCUAGUGAAGUGUCCAAAAGUAUUUAACACCUUGCAUCGCCAGAUGCGAAAUUCCAGUGCACCGGGCAGAAAAAUCAAUUUUGAGGGCACUAGAAAGCCAAGCGCUAGUAGCUGAAGUAGUGGCAGUGACAGCGGCAACUUGCUGUGUUUAUGUGCCCAGUUUUUAGACGUAUCGGCGGGGUGGUGGAACCAGCAGCAGUAACACCAGAAAAGUAAAGAAUACAUCAGCACCCACGCAGAAAAUCACUUGCGUGGAAUUAUUAAUUGACUAGCAGCAGUAGCAGUAAGCGGCCGCAAUCACCUACAUACAACUUGUGUGUGAAGGAAUAGCUAAGUAAAGGUAGGUGUUGGGUGCGCCGAGUGCGUAAAUCAGUUGCAGAGUUAAAUCAGUAGGAAAAAUCCAAAAAGGAGUCGUGGGGUAAAACAGGUGCACGAUACGCGCACACGCACCCACCAUACAAUAUAUUUAUAAAUACUGGGUGUAGUUGUUCACCGUUUGCAAAGCAGGUGUCGAUGCUAGUGUUGCAGGUGUUAGCCGUCAGAAAAGUGCACUGGGAAAGUGUGUGAAAUUGGAAGAAAAAUAAGGCAGGUUGCUAUUGGGCUGCAUACGCCAACUGAGACGAGUUAGCUGCAAGCAAGCAAAUCGCCAGCCAGCCAGGCAACGCAGUCUAAGCGCCACAUUUAUCAAGUUCGGUGUAUUUGUUCGUGGCGCUGUGCCAAAACCGCUUUCAAGGUCGUCGGCAUUGGAGUGGGCAAUAACCACAACGUAGUCGUCGUCUUCGUCAGCGUCGCUAAAGGCAGUGUCAGUGUCGAGUCAUUCUCAAAAUACAAAGUUAUUUGGACGAGAAAUAAAGGCCGGAAGUGUUUCAACUUUUGUGGUGACGGUUAGAUAAUAAAUUCAUAAAAAAUGGCUAUAAGCUUUGAGAAACAUCGCGCACAAAUCGUAGCCGCUUGGAAAGAUGUACUGGACGAUAAGAGCAGCACAAAUUGGUCACUUUAUGGCUACGAAGGUCAAACGAAUGAACUAAAGGUUGUGGGCAGUGGUGAGGGUGGAGUCGAAGAACUCUGCGAGGAUUUAAAUAGCGGCAAAAUUAUGUAUGCUUUUGUUCGCAUCGAAGAUCCGAAAACGGGCUUGAAAAAAUUUCUACUCAUCAACUGGCAGGGUGAAGGCGCGCCGGUGUUGCGCAAGGGAACUUGUGCCAAUCACAUACAUGAUGUCGCCAGGCUACUUUCCGGCGCCCAUUUGACAAUAAAUGCACGCAAUGAAGAUGAUAUCGAUUUGGAGCGACUGGUCAAGAAGUUGAGCGCCGUGAGCUCAACGUAUAGCUUCAAAGAGCCCCGCGGCCUGCCGGAUGAGCAGAAGACACCUGUUGGCACAAAUUAUACUCGCGUCAUACCUACGAAGGAGCUGAAUCCGAGUGUAAUGCAAGAUUUUUGGAAGAAGGAAGAGGAAGAGGAGAAGCGACGCAUUGCUGCCGAGAAGGAAGCAAAGCGACAGCAGUUGCUCAAACUCGAGCAGGAGCAGCGUACACGCGAAGAGAAAGAGCAUUUGGAGCGUGAGAAGAAAGUUAUUAGCACGUCUAAGCUACAGCCGGCGCAUGUGCCGAUCAAAACUUCUCCGCAGCCCCUAAGUCCGGAGAAAACUGUUGCCAGCAGCUUCACUGCCGGCAUGACUGAAGCCGAGCGCAUGCGGCAGCAGCGCAAUCAGGAGGCGCGGGAACUGAUUGGUUCCCGUGUCAUUGCCGCCAAAGCAAUUUUCACCCAAAACACAAGUCAAGGCCAGUUGCAAACAAAAUUGAACACAGCGCCACCUGCCAAACCUGCGCGCACAUCCAUAGCGCAACGCAUCAACGCCUUUAACCAGCCACAAUCAGCUGAACCGGAACCACGCAAACCCUCACCUACACCCGGUAAAGUCGCUCUUUCGAAAUUCGAGGAUAUUGCCGCCACCAAUAACGGCAUUCAACAGCACCAACCAACUGUGCAUACCACACACCGUGCGCCCUCGCCAGCCACAGUCACUGUGCCCACUCCCAUACUUGCUCACCAUCACCAAUCCCAAACACAGGUGGUCGAACCAGUUGUAGGAGUAGCAGCGAAAGCGGCGGCUGUAAUGGCGCCCGCGACUGUCGCGACAAAUGCACUAAAUGAAGAGGAGGUGGAGGUUGAGCAACCUGUCAAACCGGAAAUUACCGCCAUUGCCAAUAACGAUGACGUACCCUCGGGCGCAGAUGACUAUGCUGCCGAAAAUGACGAACAAUAUUCCACUAUAAAACGUUCACCACAUAGUAAAUCAAAUUCAUUACAAUCACCAGAGACUUCAUCCUCCAAUGCGACCGAUACGGCGCUCUAUCAGGAUCAAGAUGAUGAGGGCGAGGAGCUGGAAGAGGAGGAAGUGGUGCGCACAAAAGUGUCGGUUACGGUGCAACAACCACAAUCGGCUAAAAAUGGACUAAGCAGCGCGUUGGAUAGAAAUGAUUUGACUGAUUUGGUUAACGAGGAUGACUUCAUCUGUCAGGAGUCACUGGGUGACGUUGGACUGAAAGCAAGAGCUUUAUACGAUUAUCAAGCAGCCGACGAAUCAGAGAUUACUUUCGAUCCGGGCGACAUCAUAACGCAUAUCGAUCAAAUCGAUGAAGGCUGGUGGCAAGGGCUCGGACCCGAUGGAACUUAUGGACUGUUUCCGGCAAAUUAUGUCGAAAUUAUUAACUAAACGAAAAUAAGGGAAUUAAUUAUACACAAGCAACAACCAUUAUUGCAACAAAAAUUUUUACUUAUACUUUUACAAAUGCGAAUAAUUGCAACAAAGGAAAAAAAAUUAUAGUAGUACACCCAACAAAUGAACAAAAUAAUUGAAAUUCAACAACUAUACUCACCAUUGCCGCUCUUAAAAAUAAAAACACACCAAAUUCAUUAGAAUUCGAAAUUCAGGCACAGCACAAUUUAAUUUUUUUUUUUUAUAAAAUGAAAUCUUAGAGAGAGAAAGAGAGCAAGAGGAGGGUUUAGAAACUCCUAAUACUACUGAAGCAAUUGAAUUCUUAUGCAUUUUUAUAGCAACAUACUUACAUUUUUACUCGACUUUUGACUGCAACCACAAACUAAGAAAAUCACAAAACUUGAAAUAAAAAACCCAACCAAAAAAUUAGAUCGAAAUUUUCAUAACGUAAAAUUUUAUACGCACUCCUACACACACAGACAACCACACAUAAAAUUUUUGAUGCAUUUUUAAAAAAAUUUUCUAUACUCUAUGAUCAAAAAAAGAUUUAAUUAUAAAAAAUAAAAAUUGUUAGCCUAAAAAAAUGCAUGAAAUCCACACAAGCCGAGUACAUAUUUAAACGCAAAAAAUAUUUAAAAAGCAAAAACAGUGGAAAAAAUACUUUUCAGUGCCAAGCUGUGUAAACACCACAUAAAUACUACAUUCAGAAUAACCGAUUGCGUUCAGUAAACGAGAUUAUAUUUAUAAAAAAAAAUUUAUAUAAAAU
rnacentral:misc_RNA from 1 species